rnacentral:tRNA from 1 species
ACAGUGGUAGUUCAAUGGUAGAAUUCUCUCCUUCCAUACAGGAGACCCAGGUUCAUUUCCUGGCCAGUGCA